UACGUAGGGACCGAGCGUUGUCCGGAAUCAUUGGGCGUAAAGAGCGUGUAGGCGGCUAUUUAAGUCCUGCGUGAAAUCCUGCGGCUCAACCGCAGACGGUCGUGGGAAACUGGAUGGCUAGAGUGCGGGAGAGGAGAGUGGAAUUCCCGGUGUAGCGGUGAAAUGCGCAGAUAUCGGGAAGAACACCCGUGGCGAAGGCGGCUCUCUGGAACGCAACUGACGCUGAGACGCGAAAGCUAGGGGAGCGAACGGG
rnacentral:rRNA from 1 species